GGCCGGGCCCGGGCGCUGGACGAGCCACUGGCAGGGAGAGGGGCACUGGGCAUAGCCGCGGAGCUCCGGGGACAGCCCUGCGCGCUGGUCCCGUCGGGGUCCUGCUCAAGUUCCUAUGACGCGGAGCGCGGCUGCCCGCGAGCCGAGCGCGGCUGGCCGGGGCGGCUGCAGGGGCUCCCGGAGGCCGGCCGUGGAGUCGGCCCGAAGAGCUGGGGCCGGCGACGCGCGCCGCUCUCUGAGUGUGCCCGGGCGAGCGGGCAAAGCGGCGGCUCGGGACCGGGCGGUGCAGGCAGCGGCCACUGCGGCGCUCUCAACUGGGCGCGGGGGGCGGGACGGAGGAGGGGCAGCGCCGGGAAGGAGGAGGGGGCGGCCAGCGCCGAGGGAGGGGGCGCCACCCUGGCUGGGAGAAGGGGCUCUGCGCGCCGGCAAGCGGGCGUUCCGAGCCUCUGGGUCACUCGCUGGUGCCCUUGGGUGCGCGGAGCGUAGAAGGCGCGAUCUCCGGGUCCCCGGGCUCCUGGCUCUGGCCAGCAGAGAGCAGCAAGCGCCUGGGAUCUGCGGACUGCGGACUGGACCGCGCAGUGCCGCGGCGGGUCGGCUCCUGGGACUGCCUGGAUGGAUCUGCAGCAACUUCUUCCUUCUCUCAGGCCACUGGCCAGAGGAGGGUCUCAAACACCUCUGUUCCAUGCGGUGGCGUGGAGAGAGCCCUGGAAGGGGUCAGAUGCCUGAGCUGGCCUGUGAUGGGCGAAGGGACAAGACAGGAUGUGGUUACAGCCUUGGGACCCUCCCCACGACACAUAGGUUUGCAUACACCGACUUCUGCACUGUUACUGCAUAUUCUCCAUAUCAGAUGUCGGAAUAAAACUUCCCUACCGCACUAAAUAAGUGGCCUUGUUCUGGGGAGGGAGGUUUUUUUAAGUGCUGGAGGGUGGGAAAGGCCCUUUGGCUGGGAUAGUUAAGGCCGGGGGCAGACAGUGUGGCUCCAAGGCUAGACUCCACCCGGUAUUAGCUGAUUGACUUCUUUGUGCCUCAGUUCCUCCUCAUAAAACGAGGCUAAGAGUAGUGUCUACCUAGUGGCAUGAAGGCUAGAUGAGUUACAUGUGUUGAGGCCCCAGAGCAGUGUCUGCUUUUGUUAGCUGACUGGGGCUUGGCAGGGCAGGAUUUGAACCAGGAGGAAAGAGAGCAGACCAGGUGUGAAACUGGGGACACAGGUGGAUGGGAGGGUUUGAGGAGCCUCUUGCAGACCAGCAGGCCUGGGUAGGGAGAGAGAAAAAGAGCAUUCAUUUGGCCAACAUGGAAAUAGUAACCAGGCUGCUGUCACGUGGCAGACACCAUGCUGGACACUGGGUGGCAGAGAAAGGAGGGAUAGCAGGGAGGCUGAUGCCACCAUAUAGGUGUGGCAUGAGGAAGUCUUGAGCCAUGCCAAGGAGAUUAGGGCCUGUUUGGAGAGAUGUCUGGGAGGGGGCAGAGAACUCAUGGCCUUGGUGCCCACUGACUGUGAAUGACAUAGGGGCUGGAUGUCUCGGGGUCCUAGAUGAGAAGGUGCUUUGGAGAAGAAGCAGAACAUGGGAGAAAUGCUGAGAUGGAUAACCUCCACUCACACCCCUCUCUCCAGCCCAGGAAAUCAAAGCUGUUAUAGUCAUAGCUUAGAAACAACUCUUCUAAGGCCCUCAGCUUUUCCCUCACAUCUUCCAUCUUUUACUUGGAUCUUUGGGAACUUACCAUGGAGAGAUGAAAUGAAAGCAAGGUGGUUUGUAAGGAUGACUUGGCAGCUGACCAAAAGCAAAAUCUUGGGUUUGGGCUUCUUCUUUGAAGGAAAGGGGCAGAGGGCUCUGGAAGGACAGACCAGGAGCUCCUCACCUGGGAGUAUUGGAUAGCAGGCUCUGUGUCCAUGACUGGCUGCCGUCUCACACUGUGGGAUGGGGUAAUCGUGUAGAGUACAUCUGAUUCUAGGCUUGCUCAGUUUUCAAGGAUGACUGGGAAUAGGAAACGGUUAAACUUAAGCUGGGGCUGGGGUGGUAGGGUGCUACUUGACAGGUGUCACAUUCUGUGCCUGAUACUGAUCUAAAGCCGAAAGAAGGCCAGCUGGACUUGCUGGCAAGUACUGGUGAUGAGGAAUUGUGGGAUAGGAUGCCUAGAAGAAGAUGGGGCAGGCUCUCCCCAUUUCAGAGUUUGGCAGGCCUCAGAAGGUCUGCAAGAGGAUUUCAGAGAUUCCAGAGCUCUAAGGAAAAGAAUGUGGAAGGGCAGGAAUUGUGAGAUUGUCUGUGAGUUUCCUCUACCAGCUCAUCAGAUGCUCAAAUAUAGGAAGGCUUCAAAUUGCUGGAGCAGUGAGACCUGGAGACCCUGCUUGCCCUUGGGUUCUUUGUAAUCCAGCGGCAGGGCUUCUAUUUAAGAUGGAAACCUAAGCACCUGUGUUUAUCUCUGCUCCUUUAUGAGAAUAAAGAAAAAGGAAAGGUUCA
rnacentral:lncRNA from 1 species